AGUGAACGCUGGCGGCGUGCCUAAUACAUGCAAGUCGAACGGACACACAGUAAGAUCUUGCUCUUACGGUUGGCGAGUGGCGGGCGGGUGAGGCAUACAUCGCAAUCUUCUUUUUCGUGGGGGAUAUCGUAGGGACACUUCCGCUAAUACCUCAUAUAUUGUACGGGUGAAAGCAGGAGUUCUUCGGACCUUUCCCGUCUCAUUGAGCCGAUGUCGCAUUAGCUAGUUGGGUGGGUAAGGGCACACCAAGGCGACGAUGCGUAGCGGAUCUGAGAGGAUGAUCAGCCACACUGGAACUGAGACACGGUCCAGACUCCUACGGGAGGCAGCAGUGGGGAAUAUUGGACAAUGGGCGAAAGCCUGAUCCAGCAACGCCGCGUGAGUGAUGAAGGCCUUCGGAUUGUAAAGCCCUUUUAUUGGGGAAGAAAAGCAGCGGGUUUAUACCCGGAUGUUCUGACGGUACCCAAAGAAUAAGCACCGGCUAACUUCGUG
rnacentral:rRNA from 1 species